AAAACACCACACCCCCCAAUUAAUUACUCCACCCCCUCAUCUCCUAUAAGUCCCUCUGCUUCCCUCUAGCCCUCAGUGUUUUUUUCCUACCCAAGGGAUUACACCAUGUAUUUUUUUAUAUACCUGGGCGCCUUUCAGAUGACUGGCCUCCAGAAAUGCGUAUGACCAGGGCGCCUUACAGAUGUUUGUGCCCCCUGCGUGGUGGUGGACUUACCCUUACGCAUUCCCUGUGGAAAUCAGGGCUGUUACCAGGUCGCCUAUCAAAUGAUUGUGCCUCCUGUGUAUUGUAACCGGCGGCCGCUGCACUCCUCUGUGUUCGGCAGGUGAGAGCGCGAUGUGAUGACGUCAUUAGUGGCGCCGGUGGAACGCAUGCAGGCGUUGGAACGCAAACGUCAUAUCCGGGAAAGGAAUGCCGUUUUAAACCAGCAAGCAUGGCGGAUCAUUGCCGCUCCCAGGGGUACUGCUGUUGGCCCGUGCUGGUCCUGUGCAUAGCGUUCCAACUCUGCCACAAUGGCUGACACUGCUUUAGAAAAGGAGAAGGGAAAGUCUAAAGAGAAGGCUAAAACUAAAGAAAAUUUAUCUGAAUCUCCUAAAGGGAAGAAAGAGAUAAAGAAACCAGCCUCCAUAUCUUGUUUUGGGUGUGAUAUAAAAUUUAACCCUGUGGAAGGUGAAAAGUUAUGCAAUACAUGUAAAGGGAAACUAAAAAAUCCUGUCAAUUCCCCAGAAGGGACUGAGGGACUAGUGUCCUGGAUGAAAGGAGCUAUGAUGCAGGCUUUUGAAUCUUUUAAGCAGAAGCCAAAUAAAGAGGUAUUGCAAGCUGA